AGUGCUGUUCGUUUCUAUCAGUUUUUUAGUGUUUAGAACUAAUGGAUAGCAGUUCCUUCACUUCUGCCACUUGCUGAUGGGCCAGAAGAACGUGAACCUGCCUGCCUGGUUUCAGUAGUCUCUUCCUCAUUUGUCAAGGUGUGUUUGAGAAGGCAGAUACAUCUCUCAUGUGUGCUGCAAAUGGCCUCUGAUGACAUUAAUUCAGAAUAAGGUCACGAUCGUCACCAUUAGAUUCAGACUGAGCUGGAUGCUGGUGGAAGCAUGUGCAAAACAUAGUCCAGGGCAACAGUCCCUCCCUGGUUGUGUGAGCUGGGAAUAGCUGGAAUUCCUCUGUUGAGUAUUCAGCAGUCAUGCUGUAUACUUUGUGUGCACCUACCACUACUGUGCAAGCAGCUUCUUUCCUACAGAAUCAACAUUUUUAGAUGACAUGUUGUUGGAAUGACCCUAUGAAGAUCUGGCAAAUGUCACCUGUGCCAAGCAGAGACAGAGGGAACCACAAAACACAGGUGGCACUGCAGUGUUUUAGAAUAUUGUCAUCACAAAGCAACAAGAGCCUGACAUUGCAUUGUAUCUGUUCAAUUAAUGUAUUUCUACCUCUGACUUUCCGUGUCAAUCCUGCCUGGUCUCUUCAGUAGCAAGGCAGUGAGGGAAGAACGUAUUUUUUGAAGGAAGACGUUGGGAUUUUUGGACAUGUUAUGGUCUAGUUCUGUGACUGGGACCACACGUACUGCUGCAGAAUGAAGAAAAACCAAUAGCAACAGGCUAGAAAGAGUCAGCUCCAUAGCUCUGCCUCUGUUCACCCAUCUCACAUUCGAUUAGUCUCCGCUUGACAUCAGGCUGGGAGCAAUGAGCUCUGAUCAGAACAGUGGAUGUGGCAACAUGCCCGUGAGCUCCAUGUGUCACUCCAGAAUUAGAUGCUGUCUCACUGGAUUCCUCCAUAAAACAACUGAGGCAGAUAUGUGGAGGCCAGAUUUGUCUUUCUUGUCUAUCUACCACACCCUCUGAGGUAAGGAAAAAAGGCAGAGCCACCUGCCAGAAAACAUUACAGUAGCAAUGAACUUUAAGACAGAGAAGGACAUUCAGGGAUGUUGGUUAUCCAUCCAGAUAAAAGUGAGAAACAUUAUUCAAACACUGUUGCCCUAACUCCUAUAUCUUGGUGGUGUUUUGUUUCUGAAUGAUCCUUUCUCACAUAUGUUAGACACUGGAAAGCGUUCAGGCUGCUAUGUGAAGAGGUGGCAGAGCCAAAAUCCAUGUGUGGACUUGUUUAGGGAGGUUGGGCUAAAGGUGGAAUCCCAAAGUUCUGCCUAACUUCAGUUUGAACUGAAAUUGUACACUGGCAUUGAGAACUGAUUCACCAUGCAGGUGGAAGAACAUGAAAAGGAAAGCUUCAUCAUGGUAAGACAAAGGAGGCUUCUUUUGGAAAAGAUCCAUCUCCUGUAAGUAUGCUUUCCCUGAGGCCUGGGGGAAGCUAGCCUGUCCUAACUCCUAGUUUGGGCCUCUUCUGAAGCCAUCUACUUGGGUUGUAGACCUGUCCUUGUCUCCAGCUCUACGGGUGCUGGGAAGAUGCCAAUGGGUCUGCAAAGUGUCACACCCAACCUGAUCUCCAGUGGUCUAUACCCACUCAAACAUUGUGGAUUCUCCUGUAGAAAGAAAUGUUAUGGAGUUCAUUGCAACCAAUCUGUUGCAAUCAUUGCAAUCCAUGUGAAACCAAGAAGCAGACCAAACAUUUUGGUCUUACUGCUUCUGUUUUUCAGAAAUACUUUUUUUUUUAUUUUUAAGUCUGUGCUAUGGGAAAAAGCAGCAAAACUUCUAAAUAACUAAUUUAUCAGCUGUAAGUUUCUCUUGAAGAUUGCUACAGGUUGUAAAGUCUAAUGUUUUAAAGUGUCAGCCUUAUAUCACUGUGGUAGAGAGCUCAUUCGCUAGAGGUUGCAUUUCCGAAGCUUUGCUAUGUUUACUCGAUCAAAGGAAUUGCUGCAUUUUUAACACAGCAUUAUUUCUUUUUUUUUUUUUAGUACCUCAUAUUUGCAAAAAAUAUUUAAUGUUACUUUCAUGUAAACAUUAUCAGAAUUGAAUCUGGUUUGUUUUUAUGAUGUAUAUGUACAGAAGUUCAGUUAGUCAAGCAGGAGUUGACAUAACUGAGGUCUGCAGACCUCAGGUAUAUGUUUAAGUGGUCUUUUGAACUGCAGCCCAUGUUCUCUGUGAACAUAACUUUUCAGAGCUCUUGUGAUUCUCCUCCUUCCCAAGACUGUUGAAUUGCAGUAUAAGGUCAGGACUGUGGUCAGUCUCUUCUGACACUCGCAGGCUAGGUGUAAGUGCUUCUGAAAUGGGGAAUCACUUAGAGGGCUAAUUCAGUAUAGAGCUGUGUAAAUUGUUUUGCUUAUUUGGGUGGUUUCAAGAAAUAUGAUCCAUGUGUCUAAAACAGCAGAUAAAUCUCAUCUGCUCAGAAAUCUGACUUUGGCAAUAGCUGCUAAAUUCACCGUGUGCGGCUGUAGGCUUUGGUAUGGCCUGAUCCUGCCCUCCGUGUGGGGUUCUGACUGCCACGUGGCUUAAUCACCCUCUUUUCUUUUUUGUUUUUGGUUUUUCUUCCUCCUGUCAGCUGAAAGAUAAAAUAAAAAAAACAUAUUAACCUCCCUGAUGAAGCUUUGUAAUUCCCAACACUGAAACAUUAACCAACUCCUUAAUUAAGAGAGACUGAAAGUAGAAGAAUGCUUUUAUGUCAUUAGCUGGUUUUUGCUCCAGUCAUCUGCCUCAUUCAAGCAUGGGAUAAUAUGAAACCUCACGGGUCUGCUGAAGGCCUGACUUAAGUAUAUUGCAGGCUUCCUUUGCAAUUUAAUAAGGGCCGCACGUUGUUCUUAAGAAACUUGAUUUUCUUUUGCUUGUGCUCAAGACUAGCAAAAUAAAAGGAAGAGCAGCUAGACAGUGAGAGCCAGAGGUCUGAGCCCUAUCCUUGCUUCAGCACAUGGAUGUUUUUCCUUCCUGUGGCCUCUUUCCUCCCACACCAGGAGUACCGGGAAUUUGUACUACAGCAAAAGCUCUCCUGGGCAGAGAACAGCUGCUCUUUUAUCUGCAUUUCUGCAGUAUUGAGCACAGUGACUUCCCAGUGCUGCCUGGACAGAGCGCACAGUAAUGGAGUGGGCAAUGUUAGUGAUACCUAGUACCUCGGUGGCUGCAGGCAUGGUCCUCCCCUGCUGGAGCUCUGCCUGUGCACUGUGCUGCAGAGGCUGGAGGUGCGGCAGCUGAGGCUGGAUCCCUGUUCUGCUACUGCCUGGGUCAGUGUUCCCAGUUGCUCCCUGUGGCACCCGUUGUCUGUAAGCACUGUAACCCGCUGCUCCUCUGUGCGGUCACUGGGGCUAACAAAUGGAAGCAUGGUAAAAUCUCUUGUAUGGUGUUUCCAUCCCACUGGGUGAAGGAGGCUUGGAAGUUACUCAGAGCUGUGCUCGCUUGUUUGAAAGGACUGGCUGAACAGAUCCAAUGGAAAACCAUUCAGCAUAGUGCUUUGCCACACUACCUGAAGUGAGGGCCUUUAUACUGGGAUUCAUCCCUUGUUAAGGCUAUAAACCCCAAAUCCAUGUAGAUAUAAUGUUAGGAUUACAGCAAACUGCAGAACGUGUGUUUGGGAAUGGAAUGGAAAAGGUUUUGUUGUUCUUUGCAUUAUUUUUCUUCCCUUGUGUGACGCUCCCUCAUGCGCGUGCACAUGUGCAAAUUUGCCUCUUGCUUUUCCCCUCCACCUCUUUUUCAUCUCCAGUGACCACAUCUCUCUCAAUUCAAGUGUGAACAGCACUUCUUAAGAAUGGUACCAAAGUCAACAUCUGUUCCUUCAGUUUCUUCCCGUUUCACCCUUGGCAUCCCAACAGUGACCUUGAGCUCCAGUGCACACAGACAAAUACCUGCUGCUCGGUAGGUCUGUGCGUAGGUGAAGCUAUAAGCAAAGCUCAGCAUAGGACUCUACAGCUGCACACUCAGAUCCUGAGGCUGUGGCUCUGUGUCCAAACUCUUCGGCCAUGGGAGCAAAGGAAUGGGCUCAAGGACCUUGGGUACAGUCAGAAACAUGCAGACACACAACGCUUUGUUGGGAGGGAAAAUAAAAAUGGGUUAAUUGAGUUAGAGUUCCUGUGGGUGCCGUGUGUACCAUAGACUGGAAAUGGGGUUUGUCGUGUUACGAGGUUGUAGGCAUUUUUAUCCUUAUAUGUGUGUAUUACAGACAGAGGUACUGCGCUAAUGAAACACAACUUUACGUCCCCAGACCUAUCUAUGCUCACAAUGCAGCAGAGCCAGUUUGUUUGCUGAUCUUUGUGGUGCUGUUUGUGGGGAGAAGAGCAGCUCCGUGUGCUGGCUGCCCACGGCCCCACCUGGGUUCUCAGUGUACGAGGUGUGCUUUGGGUGAGUGGGGAGGGCUGCCAACUGAGCAAGUGUAAUCACAGCUGUCUUGACGUGGGGGAACGUGACGAUGGGGAACUGGGGAGGUUCCCAAGAGGAGACACAGCAUUUUCUCCUCUGAAACUCACCAAACAUGCUCUGUCUCCCCUGAAGGGGGACCAGCCUGAACAAGAUACAAAAAAAGGCAGCACUGGGGGGGUGGGGGGAGAGGAGGAAGGAAAUGGGGUAGGAAUAAAAGCAAAUAGAUGAGCUGAGCUAAUAUCAGUUUCCUGAUAUAUAAAGCCAAAUGGACUAAUGGAUUGGCUCAUGCAUUGCCUAAGGAAACAAAAAGAAAAUCUUCAAUACUUCUGCACACGUUGAGGACGUGAACAAUAUAGGUCUUU